rnacentral:lncRNA from 1 species
UAUUUGGAAAGGGGGAAGGGCCCCAAUUUAUUUUAUAUAUCUGUAUGGAUGUAUAUGUGAAUAAGUUUCAUGCUUAGAUUGAUACUUUUCUAUGUGAAAUUUGAUAUUAUUUGCGCGCAUGAGUUAAGUUAAUAAAAAUUAAACGUGUGAAAAAUCUUGUGUGGAUUGUCUAAGAUCAAUGGGAUAAAAUUAGGUGGAAGUUUUAAGUCAGAUGUCGCUUUACUUGAUGAUAUUUAAUGAGAGGUAUUGCACUAAUCAAGUUCAAGGUAGAAAAAUAUAUUUAUUUGGAAACUUCUCUUCGUAGCCUUUAUGAUCGAGUUAUUAAGCCUAUAAGGAUGUCUGGAAUUUGUUGCCCUAAAGUCAUUUGACUUGGAAGUCAUCAACAAAAAGUUCACUACAUAGGUCAUUUAAAAAGCUUAAUGGAGGAUUGCUACAAGAAAAACUAAAAAAAUAAAAAAUGAAUAAGAAAAAGUAGGUGCAUGAAACAAAAGAAUCAUCGUAUGCUUUGAUUAAGCCCCAAACACUUGUUUGAGAAAAUUAACUUUUGACAGUAGAUUAUUAGUCUAGUUGAGUCUUGGAGAUUAAAUUAAUCAAAAUAAUCGUAAUCCUUGUCCGUUGAAGUUUGACUUACAAUUAGUAAAAUCUAUCUAAACUAGAUAGAUAAGGAUAAAAAUAAAGAUUCAACUUUAGACCACACAUUGCUAGAGAGGUAAAAGCAUAAGUUUAGGGUUGGGUAAUUCUUAUGGGUGAUGAAAGGACA